rnacentral:misc_RNA from 1 species
AUCUACUCAGGUUUUAUUUAUUUGUAUAUUUUGCGAAAUAAUUGUUCAUUUCUCAUUUUCAUUCAAUGUCUAUUGGUUACAUUUUUGUACUUUAGGCUUGAUAGAUUGAUUUUGGUACUAGCAGUCUUAGUUCAAUAAUUUGAUGGACCUUUUUCUUGUUUUUAAUAUAUGGAACAAGAGAUAAAGUUUUAGUAGUCUCCUAUUUCUUGUUGCUUUCCCCUCUCUCUGUUUAUUGAUUUGGCUGAUUGUUGAAAAAAACAUGAGAUAUUGAUCGUAGUAAUUUAAAUCUUCUUCCUUCACUAUUUGGGAUCCCAAGAAAGUAAUUAAUUAAAUAGAAGUGCAUUUAGCUGGGACUAUAUGGCUUGAGGUAAAGUUUCUGUGAGCAUUAAGCUGACCGAAACAAAAAUUUAGG